rnacentral:rRNA from 3 species
GGUUAAGCGACUAAGCGUACACGGUGGAUGCCCUGGCAGUCAGAGGCGAUGAAGGACGUGCUAAUCUGCGAUAAGCGUCGGUAAGGUGAUAUGAACCGUUAUAACCGGCGAUUUCCGAAUGGGGAAACCCAGUGUGUUUCGACACACUAUCAUUAACUGAAUCCAUAGGUUAAUGAGGCGAACCGGGGGAACUGAAACAUCUAAGUACCCCGAGGAAAAGAAAUCAACCGAGAUUCCCCCAGUAGCGGCGAGCGAACGGGGAG